ensembl:lncRNA
UUGACACGGAUGAGUGGUUAUCCUCCGCUCGAGAUGUACACGCCUUUGACGCACUAUAGAAAGACAAAGACUCGUGUGGCCUUGCCCGAAUCCCUUAAUCUAGGACCUUGUCACUAGCCUAGCCCGCCCUGGUUCUCUCAACCCAGUAUCCCUACGCACACAGGCUCAGUCACGUGUCCAUUGGGCGGCCAUCAGAAGAGGAGGGAAGACAGGGACGACAUUCCUGAUGAUUCACCGGCUGUUUGUGUUGUUUACUGUCUACUCAAUGGUGAAUUCCAUCAUCGCAAGAACCACCUGCAGCCAUGGUUUCCAAACAACCUGCAACACUGGCCGGAGACAGAUGGCAGCCAUGAUUACCACGCAUAGGAAGCUAUUCUUUACAUUCUGAGGGGGACCAAAAAGCAAGAGAGAGAGACGUAAAGGAC